rnacentral:rRNA from 1 species
CCUACGGGAGGCAGCAGUGAGGAAUAUUGCUCAAUGGACGAGAGUCUGAACCAGCCAAGUAGCGUGAAGGAUGACUGCCCUAUGGGUUGUAAACUUCUUUUAUAUGGAAAUAAAAUGUUCCACGUGUGGGAUUUUGUAUGUACCAUAUGAAUAAGGAUCGGCUAACUCCGUGCCAGCAGCCGCGGUAAUACGGAGGAUCCGAGCGUUAUCCGGAUUUAUUGGGUGUAAAGGGAGCGUAGGUGGAUGGUUAAGUCAGUUGUGAAAGUUUGCGGCUCAACCGUACAAUUGCAGUUGAAACUGGCAGUCUUGAGUACAGUAGAGGUGGGCGGAAUUCGUGGUGUAGCGGUGAAAUGCGUAGAUAUCACGAAGAACUCCGAUUGCGAAGGCAGUUCACUGGACUGCAACUGACACUGAGGCUCGAAAGUGUGGGUAUCAAACAGGAUUAGAUACCCGAGUAGUC